UACGGGGGGGGCAAGCGUUGUUCGGAAUUACUGGGCGUAAAGGGCUCGUAGGUGGCCAACUAAGUCAGACGUGAAAUCCCUCAGCUUAACUGGGGAACUGCGUCUGAUACUGGAUGGCUUGAGUUUGGGAGAGGGAUGCGGAAUUCCAGGUGUAGCGGUGAAAUGCGUAGAUAUCUGGAGGAACACCGGUGGCGAAGGCGGCAUCCUGGACCGGCAUUGACGCUAAAGCGCGAAAGCCAGGGGAGCAAACGGG
rnacentral:rRNA from 1 species